GGUCCAAAUCCCCGCCUUUGAUAUGCCGCUUAUGCGGCACCAUCACAUUCGGUAUUAGCCCGCCUUUCGGCAGGUUAUCCCCAACUUAAAGGUAAAUUGCUCACGUGUUCCUCACCCUUCCGCCACUCUCCUCGAGAAACCCUUGCGGGCUUCCCGAUUUGCGUUCGACUUGCAUGCCUAAUCC
rnacentral:rRNA from 1 species